UACGAAGGGGGCUAGCGUUGUUCGGAAUUACUGGGCGUAAAGCGCACGUAGGCGGAUAUUUAAGUCAGGGGUGAAAUCCCGGGGCUCAACCCCGGAACUGCCUUUGAUACUGGGUAUCUAGAGUCCGGAAGAGGUGAGUGGAAUUCCGAGUGUGGAGGUGAAAUUCGUAGAUAUUCGGAGGAACACCAGUGGCGAAGGCGGCUCACUGGUCCGGUACUGACGCUGAGGUGCGACAGCGUGGGGAGCAAACAGG
rnacentral:rRNA from 1 species